rnacentral:rRNA from 1 species
AUUGAACGCUGGCGGCAGGCCUAACACAUGCAAGUCGAACGGUAGCACAGAGAGCUUGCUCUCGGGUGACGAGUGGCGGACGGGUGAGUAAUGUCUGGGAAACUGCCCGAUGGAGGGGGAUAACUACUGGAAACGGUAGCUAAUACCGCAUAGCGUCGCAAGACCAAAGUGGGGGACCUUCGGGCCUCACACCAUCGGAUGUGCCCAGAUGGGAUUAGCUAGUAGGUGGGGUAAUGGCUCACCUAGGCGACGAUCCCUAGCUGGUCUGAGAGGAGGACGAGCCACACUGGAAAGGGGACACGGGCAAGACGCCUACGGGAGGAAGCAGUGGGGAAUAUUGCACAAUGGGCGCAAGCCUGAUGCAGCCAUGCCGCGUGUAUGAAGAAGGCCUUCGGGUUGUAAAGUACUUUCAGCGGGGAGGAAGGCGGUGGAGUUAAUAACUUCACCGAUUGACGUUACCCGCAGAAGUAGCACCGGCUAACUCCGUGCCAGCAGCCGCCGUAA